GGUUUGAUUAUGGCUCAGAUUGAACGCUGGCGGGAUGCUUUACACAUGCAAGUCGAACGGCAGCACGGACUUCGGUCUGUGGCGAGUGGCGAACGGGUGAUAAUGUAUCGGAACGCCUAGUAAAGGGAUAACUACGCGAAAGCGUAGCCAAUACCGCAUACGCGCCCUUCGGGGGAAAGCGGGGACCUUCGGGCCUCGUACUAUUAGAGCGGUCAUAUCGGAUUAGCUAGUUGGUGGGGUAACGGCUCACCAAGGGCGACGAUCCGUAGCUGGUUUGAGAGGACGACCAGCCACACUGGGACUGAGACACGGCCCAGACUCCUACGGGAGGCAGCGGGGAAUUUUGGACAAUGGGAACCCCGAUCCAGCCAUCCCAAGCGUGCGAUGAAGGCCUCGGGUUGUAGCACUUUACAGGAAGAAACGCACGGGAUAAUACCCCCGUGCAACUGACGGUACCUGCAGAAUAAGCACUGGCUAACUACGUGCCAGCAGCCGCGGUAAUAUGAAAAAGCGUUAAUCGGAAUUACUGGGCGUAAAGCGUGCGCAGGCGGUUCGGAAAGAAAGAUGCGGAAAUCCCAGAGCUUAACUUUGGAACUGCAUUUUUAACUACCGAGCUAGAGUGUGUCAGAGGGAGGUGGAAUUCCGCGUGUAGCAGUGAAAUGUAGAUAUGCGGAGGAACACCGAUGGCGAAGGCAGCCUCCUCUGGGAUAACACUGACGCUCAUGCACGAAAGCGUAAGCAAACAGGAUUAGAUACCCUGCGUCCACGCUCUAAACGAUGUCAACUAGCUGUUAGCCUUCGGGCUCCUUUGGUAGCAGCUAACGCGUGAAGUUGACCGCCUGGGAGCAUGGUCGCAAGAUUAAAACUCAAAGGAAUUGACGGGACCCGCACAAGCGGUGGAUGAUGUGGAUUAAUUGAUGCAACGCGAAAACCUUACCCAUCCUUGACAUGUCUGAAUCCUGAAGAGAUUUGGGAGUGCUUCGCAAGAGAACCGGAACACAGGUGCUGCAUGGCUGUCAGCCCAGGUCGUGAGAUGUUGCUGUCUCGCAACGAGCGCAACCCUUGUCAUUAGUUGCUACGAAAGGGCACUCUAAUGAGACUGCCGGUGACAAACCGGAGGAAGGUGGGGAUGACGUCAAGUCCUCAUGGCCCUUAUGGGUAGGGCUUCACACGUCAUACAAUGUGGUCGGGACAGAGGGUCGCCAACCCGGCGAGGGAGCUGCAAUCCCAGAAACCCGAUCGUAGUCCGGAUCGCAGUCUGCAACUCGACUGCGUGAAGUCGGAAUCGCUAGUAAUCGCGGAUCAGCAUGUCGCGGUGAAUACGUUCCCGGGUCUUGCAUGACACUGCCCGUCACACCAUGGGAGUGGGUUUUACCAGAAGUAGUUAGCCUAACCGUGGUGAGGGCGAUUACCACGGUGAUUCAUGACUGGGGGAAAGUCAACAAGGU
rnacentral:rRNA from 1 species